UUUUCUUGUUUCUCCAAAGUACUCUCACUAUCAUUUUCUUUUCAUGGCUAUGCAAUCUCCUUCUUCCUCCUCUUCUUCUAUCUCUUAUGAUUUCAGCUUCGAUGCGUUCGUCAGUUUUCGGGGGGCUGAUACUCGAUCUCGGGCUUCACCGGCAAUCUCUAUAAAGCUCUUUGUGACAAAGGAGUCCGAACCUUCAUUGAUGACAAGGAGCUUCAGAGAGGUGAUGAAAUCACACCUUCGCUCGCAUUGAAAACUCAAGAAUUGCCAUUGUUGUCUUCUCUAAAGACUAUGCUUCUUCUUCAUUUUGUUUAGAUGAACUUGUCCAUGUUGAGUAAUGUGCUGUACCAUAAAUGCUUGUAUUGGAAAAAUGUACUUAGAGUAUUGUAGAAGCAUGUACCUAGGCUAAUGUAAGUUCAUGUAUCAGAAAAUUAAUGCUUUCUAGAGAGCUCUAUCACUCACUAUAAAUGAGAGUUCUCCACCAUCUGAUAUGUAAGCAAAAAAAAAAAAAAAAAAAAAAAAAGAACCAAAUAAGCAUUAUUCAGCACCAAAUUAUU
rnacentral:lncRNA from 1 species